rnacentral:rRNA from 1 species
UACAGGGGGGGCAAGCGUUGUUCGGAAUUACUGGGCGUAAAGGGUUCGUAGGUGGCCAACUAAGUCAGACGUGAAAUCCCUCAGCUUAACUGGGGAACUGCGUCCGAUACUGGAUGGCUUGAGUUUGGGAGAGGGAUGCGGAAUUCCAGGUGUAGCGGUGAAAUGCGUAGAUAUCUGGAGGAACACCGGUGGCGAAGGCGGCAUCCUGGACCAACACUGACACUGAGGAGCGAAAGCCAGGGGAGCAAACGGG